UGUAUAUUAGUGUAAGAGGCACCGAGAAUUUUGAUUUCUUUAGAUUUAGUUUGAUUCUAAAAUAUAUAA
rnacentral:tRNA from 1 species